GGUCGUCAGGACGAGCAGGAAGCCGCGAAGAACUCGGGCUGCGGACCAUGUCGACCGUGGUAGCUCAGUCGCUGCAUGUUUUUGGUCUUCGAUCCCACGUGGCCAACAAUAUCUUCUUCUUCGAUGAACAGAUCAUUAUUUUUCCUUCAGGAAAUCACUGUGUGAAAUACAAUGUGGAUCAGAAGUGGCAAAAAUUCAUUCCAGGCUCAGACAAGAGUCAGGACAUGUUGGCCUUGUCCAUCAGUCCCAAUCGGCGAUACCUCGCUGUCUCCGAGACUGUGCAAGAAAAACCUGUCAUCACCAUUUAUGAACUGUCGUCCAUCCCUUGCCGGAAGCGCAAAAUCCUUAAUAAUUUUGACUUCCCAGUUCAGAAAUUUGUUAGCAUGGCUUUUUCUCCAGACUCCAAAUACCUGUUGACUCAGACAUCACCUCCAGAGUCAAACCUUGUCUAUUGGCUGUGGGAGAAACAGAAGGUAAUGGCCAUCAUGAGAACCGACUCUCAGAACAGCUCUGUCUACCAGGUGAGCUUCAGUCCCCAGGACAACACUCAGGUUUGUGUCACUGGAAAUGGGAUGUUUAAGCUUCUCCGUUUUGCCGAGGGAACCCUGAAGCAAACCAACUUUCAGAAGGGAGAACCCCAGAACUACCUAGCCCACACCUGGGUGUCUGAUGACAAGAUUGUCGUUGGCACUGACACCGGCAGGCUCUUCCUCUUUGAAUCUGGAGAUCAGCGCUGGGAGACAAGCAUAAUGGUCAAGGAGUCCACCAGCGACAGGAAGAACCUGAACAUGAUCCAGGAAUCAGAGAGCUUGAUCCAAUUUCCAACAAUCAGUUCACCGGUCCCUUCCUAUGAACGGGCCGUGACGACCAGCAGCCGCAGCCAGAUAACCAUGCCCCAGGUGUUUGCCAUUGCGGCCUAUUCAAAGGGAUUUGCCUGUUCUGCUGGGCCAGGGAGAGUUCUACUGUUUGAGAAGAUGGAAGAGAAGGAUUUUUACCGUGAGAGCAGGGAAAUCCGGAUUCCUGUGGACCCACAGAGCAAUGACCCGAGUCAGUCUGACAAACAGGAUGUCCUCUGCCUGUGCUUCAGCCCCUCAGAGGAGACCCUGAUUGCUAGCACCAGCAAGAACCAACUCUACAGCAUCACCAUGUCCCUGACGGAGAUCAGCAAGGGGGAGCCUGCUCACUUUGAGUAUCUGCUGUACCCAUUACACUCAGCAUCCAUCACCGGUCUAGCUACUUGCAUCCGCAAACCCCUCAUUGCCACCUGUUCUCUGGAUCGAUCUGUUCGCAUCUGGAAUUAUGAAUCAAACACUCUGGAACUAUUUAAGGAAUACCAAGAAGAGGCAUAUACAAUCAGCCUUCACCCAUCUGGUCACUUCAUUGUAGUAGGGUUUGCUGACAAAUUACGCCUUAUGAAUCUACUCAUUGAUGAUAUACGUUCUUUCAAAGAAUACUCUGUCAGAGGAUGUAGAGAGUGUUCCUUUAGCAACGGAGGUCACCUGUUUGCUGCAGUCAAUGGAAAUGUGAUUCACAUUUUUACCACCACUACCCUGGAGAACAUCUCAAACCUGAAAGGACACACAGGGAAGAUUCGUUCCAUCGUGUGGAAUGCAGAUGACAGCAAGCUGAUUUCUUGUGGCACCGACGGUGCUGUGUACGAGUGGAAUCUGUCCACAGGAAAGAGAGAGACAGAAUGUGUGCUCAAGUCCUGCAGCUACAACUGUGUUACCAUCUCCCCUGAUGCCAAAAUUAUCUUUGCUGUUGGAUCGGAUCAGACUCUCAAGGAGAUUGCAGAUUCUUCGGUCCUUCGAGAGACGUCAGCAUUCGACGUCACCUACACAGCCGUUGCCAUCUCGCAUUCCGGGCGCAUGAUGUUUGUGGGUACCUCCCUGGGAACCAUUCGUGCAAUGAAGUACCCCCUGCCUCUGCAGAAAGAAUUCAACGAGUACCACGCCCAUGCUGGUCCUGUCACCAAGAUAUUGCUCACCUUUGAUGACCAGUUCCUCCUGACCACUGCUGAGGAUGGCUGCUUGUUCACCUGGAAGGUCUUUGAUAAGGAUGGUCGGGGAAUCAAGCGAGAGAGGGAGGUGGGCUUUGCCGAAGAGGUGCUUGUUACUAAAACAGACAUGGAAGAGAAGGCUCAGGUUAUGUUGGAGCUGAAGACUCGUGUGGAAGAAUUAAAGAUGGAGAAUGAGUAUCAGCUUCGACUAAAGGAUAUGAAUUAUUCUGAGAAGAUUAAGGAGCUAACAGACAAGUUCAUCCAGGAAAUGGAAUCCUUGAAAACGAAAAACCAGGUUUUAAGAACAGAAAAAGACAAGCAGGAUGUGUUGCACCGUGAGCACGUAGAUGACCUCCUGGACAAGCAGAGCCGGGAACUGCAGGACCUGGAAUGUUGCAACAACCAAAAGUUGCUUCUAGAAUAUGAGAAGUACCAGGAAUUGCAGCUGAAGUCCCAGAGGAUGCAGGAAGAGUAUGAAAAACAGCUUCGGGACAACGAUGAGACCAGGAGCCAGGCCCUGGAGGAGCUGACUGAGUUUUACGAGGCCAAACUGCAGGAGAAAACCACUCUUCUGGAAGAGGCACAGGAAGAUGUCAGACAGCAGCUGCGGGAGUUUGAAGAGACCAAAAAACAAAUUGAAGAAGAUGAGGACCGAGAAAUCCAAGAUAUCAAAACCAAGUAUGAGAAAAAGCUUCGGGACGAGAAGGAGGCAAACCUGCGGCUCAAAGGAGAAACGGGCAUCAUGAGGAAGAAGUUCAGCAGCCUGCAGAAGGAGAUUGAAGAACGCACCAGUGACAUCGAGAACCUGAAGGGAGAGCAGGUGAAGCUGCAAGGAGUCAUUAAGUCCCUGGAGAAGGACAUCCUGAGCCUCAAGCGGGAGAUCCAGGAAAGAGAUGAGACAAUUCAAGAUAAGGUGAAGGCUCAUCUUCUGUCCUCCCUCAGCUGUUUCAAUGGACCCAGGCAAUGAGGACAAAGCUCAAGAGAGAGAGGGUCCCUGGCUUCUUGGAACACAUUUAUUUAACCUGAUGGGGGAUGAGUGGUCAGUGAAGUGCCUACCGUGUGCUUGGCACUGAGCUCAUUGCUAUAAAGGCAUCACAUUCAGUUCUCCCAACAACCCAGGGAGCCAUGAGCAGCCCAGUUUUAUUGCUCAGGCAACUGAGUUCCAACAAGUAUCUCACUCAAGGUCGUACAGUUUAUAGGUAACACAUGGGAUAAGAACUCGAGUGGGCUGACUGCAAGGCCCCUGCUCUCCACCGCUCCAGGCAUCCUAGGGUGACCAUCCCCGUGGACUAGGGGCAGCUCACCCGCCCCAUUGCCCACAUGGUGCCCCUGGUCAGAGAGGAACACCACCGUGGUUGGCCCUAUACCUGCUGGCACCCCAGAAAGCUUUUCAGGAUGCCUUUUUCACAAAAUACUUAGAAGAUAGACACUUCACAUUUUGUGAGGCAAACCACCUCAAUAUCCAAAUUUUUGUAUGAUCCUCUUGAGCAAAUCUGGGCUCCGUGCCCUCCUCUCCAUCCCCUCUGCCGCUACUGCCUUAGUCAGGCAGAGUUCUGCAGCGGUCGAGAACAUGGGCUUCAGCACCAGUUCUCUAGGUUCUAGCACAAACUCGUCCGUGUACCAGUCCCAGGACCUUGGGCAACUCGUCUAAGCCUUUGCUUUUUCACCUGUGAAAUGGGGCCCCUCAGGGGCUCUGAUAAGGAUGAAAAUGAGAAGUACCUGCAUGUGAUUUCUGCCUGUGAGUGUUUGUGUGUGUAUCUGGGCAUUGUUUUUAGGGAAGGUCCAAAGCUCUCUUCAGCUUCUCAAAGGGAGGUUUUAAGAAGAGAGAAGUUAAGACCUCUUGCCCUAGAAAAUUGCAGCAGCCUCCUAACUGGUCUGAGGGCCUUCCUACCCCUGCUCCCUGCCACCAUACUCUGUAAUUAUGUCCCUCUCCCACUUAAAAUUCCUCUAUAGCUCCCCAUUGCCUGUGGGAGGGGUCAGCAAACUUUUUUCUGUAAAAGGCUAGGUAGUAAAUAUUUUAGUCUUUGCAGGCAGUAUGGUCUCUGUCACAGUUACUCAACUCUGCCAUUGUAGUGUGAAAUCAGCUGUAGACAAUACAUAAAUGCGUGGGCAUGGCUAUGUUCCAAUAAAACUUUACGAAAACAGACAACAGGUUAGAUUUGACCAAGAACCACCACCUUACACUCGUGCAAGUUAUUCUUUUGUGUGUGUGUGUGUGUGUGUGUGUGUGUGUGAGGAAGAUCAGCUCUGAGCUAACAUCCAUGCUCAUCCUCCUCUUUUUGCUGGGGAAGACCAGCCCUCAGCUAACAUCUAUUGCCAGUCCUCCCCCUUUUUUUCCCUUUUUCUCCCCAAAGCCCCAGUAGAUAGUCGUAUGUCAUAGUUGCACAUCCUUCUAGUUGCUCUAUGUGGGACGCGGCCUCAGCAUGGCCGGAGAAGCGGUGCGUCGGUGCGCGCCCGGGAUCUGAGCCCGGGCCGCCAAUAGCAGAGCGCGCACACUUAACCACUAAGCCAUGGGCCCCCAGUUAUUCUUAGACCCUCAGUACACACUAUGCCUUCCGUGCCUUCCUCUUUUACAGCACCUAUCACAGUAUAGGUUUACAUUUGUUGACACACUGCUUUCCCAGCUAGUGUUCUCUCCUUAAGGGCAGGAACUGUGUCAUAUUUACAUUUGGAAUCUCAGACCUUGGUGAAAGGUCUUCAUUCAGUAAAUGUUUGAUGGGUGGAUAGACCUACAUUCUAAUUGCUAUUGCCUCGCAACGAAUUAUGCCAGAACUUAGCGGUGGAAAACAACUGUUUUGUUAUGCUCGCAGAGACAGUGGGUCUGGAAUUUGAACAGAGUACAGUGGAAUGGCUUGUCUUUGUCCCCGAUGUCUGGGGCCUAGCUUGGCCUCAGUCAGGGGUGACUCAAGCUGCUGGAGGCUGGAAGAUCAGCAUCCAAGGUGGCUUCUUCAGUCAUAUGUCCAGCCUCUUGGCCAGAAUGGCUGGGAGGCUGGGCUCACCUGGGACUGUUGACCAGAGACCAAACAUGCUCUCCAGCCUGGAGGUCUCAGUGUACUGGGACUUCUUACAUAGCAGUUGGCCUCCCCCAGAGCACAUGUCCCAAGAGAACUGGGUGGAAGCUGCUUGACCUUUUCUGAGCUAGCCUGGAAAGCAAAACAGCAUCUCUCAAGCUGCAUUCUCUCAGCUACAAGUAAACCGUAAGUCCAGCCAGAUGCAAGGGGAGGAAAUUAGAUCCCACCUCCUGAUGGAGCAGCGUAAGUCAGUCACGUAGUAGAAGAGCAUGCGGGACGAGAGAUGCUGUUGAGGCCAGCUCUGGAAAACAGAGUAGGCCACACUCUACAAAUGAAUGGGAGAAGCGAAUCUAUGACCUGAAAAAGAAAAAUCAGGAACUAGAG